UCAUAUUCUGUGCAAAUAACACAUAUUGCUUUUAUAAUAUUUAAAGUUCACAACACAAUAAUAUAAAAUAUAUGUACUCAUUUCUUAAUGGGCAUCUUGUUUUAAAGUAAGAAAAAGCACCAACUAUUUCAUAUAGAGAGCAAAAUUAGGAUCUUUUGCCAUAAACUUCUAGGCUCAAAAGUGCAGGGCCUCCAUCUUGGGGCUGAAGGGAUCUUUCUCUUCCACUUCUUCAAACUCCGACUUGUAUAAUUCAUGGAGAAAUUUCUUAAACAGUUGAAGGCACUCGAGUGUGAACAUUACUACAGUUAAAUGAAACACGUCCCUAUGGAAACAUCGAUCAAUCAAAUUCCUAACGAAGGUAAUCAAUUCAUCCCACCAAUUCUCCACUCUCUGGUUCAAUAUUCUCCUACUAGUGUCACUCUUCUCAAAUGAAACAUUAUUCAGAGCUAAACACACUUAACAAGUGAACAAGUACUAUUUCAUUGUGAUGGCA
rnacentral:lncRNA from 1 species